rnacentral:rRNA from 1 species
UUUAUUGGAGAGUUUGAUCCUGGCUCAGGAUGAACGCUGGCGGCGUGCCUAAUACAUGCAAGUCGAGCGAAUGGAUUAAGAGCUUGCUCUUAUGAAGUUAGCGGCGGACGGGUGAGUAACACGUGGGUAACCUGCCCAUAAGACUGGGAUAACUCCGGGAAACCGGGGCUAAUACCGGAUAACAUUUUGAACUGCAUGGUUCGAA